AAUCAACGUUGGCGGCGCGCCUAACACAUGCAAGUCGAACGAGAAAGUGGAGCAAUCCAUGAGUAAAGUGGCGUACGGGUGAGUAACACGUGGGUAAUCUACCUCUUGGUGGGGAAUAACGCUGGGAAACUGGCGCUAAUACCGCAUAAGUUCGUAAGAAGAAAGUCGCAAGACGCCGAGAGAGGAGCCCGCGGCCGAUUAGCUAGUUGGUAGGGUAAAAGCCUACCAAGGCUAUGAUCGGUAGCCGGCCUGAGAGGGCACACGGCCACACUGGCACUGAAACACGGGCCAGACUCCUACGGGAGGCAGCAGUGGGGAAUCUUGCACAAUGGGGGAAACCCUGAUGCAGCGACGCCGCGUGAGUGAUGAAGCCCUUCGGGGUGUAAAGCUCUUUUCGACAGGAACGAUAAUGACGGUACCUGGAGAAGAAGCUGCGGCUAACUACGUG
rnacentral:rRNA from 1 species